AUCCAGCUGACGAGUCCCAAACAGGACGAAACGCGCGUCCUGGAU
rfam:Schistosoma curassoni strain Dakar, Senegal genome assembly, scaffold: SCTD_scaffold0001436